rnacentral:rRNA from 1 species
CACCUGCAUUAUUUGACGUUACCUACAGAAGAAGCACCGGCUAACUCCGUGCCAGCAGCCGCGGUAAUACGGAGGGUGCGAGCGUUAAUCGGAAUUACUGGGCGUAAAAGCGCAUGCAGGCGGCCUGUUAAGUCAGAUGUGAAAAAGCCCGGGCUUAAACCUCGGAAAUUGCAUUUGAAAAACUGGCAGGCUAGAGUCUUGUAGAGGGGGUAGAAUUUCAGGUGUAGCGGUGAAAAUGCGUAGAGAUCUGAAGGAAUACCAGUGGCGAAGGCGGCCCCCUGGACAAAGACUGACGCUCAGAUGCGAAAGCGUGGGGAGCAAACAGGAUUAGAUACCCCUGUGG